rnacentral:lncRNA from 1 species
ACGUUGGGUGACACUUCAAAAAUACCCAUCAGACAAGUAAGCAUUCUGUAAGCAGGCAACGGUGGUAGGAAGAAUAAUAAUGCUCAAGACAGCUCAGGAGCAAAGGAGUACUCUCUGACACUGGGAGGAUAUGGUAGUCCAUGCAGUGGUAGAUAUACAUCUUCAGCAGAAAGGAUAGUCUUGGUGUAAUCUUUGUCACAAGUUUGAGACUACUUAUGUUCCUUUGCAAAUGAUCUAUGAAUUAUAAUUUGUCUAGCUGACUCAUUUGUCCACAACUUGAGCACAUGCUUGUCCAUAAAUACUGACAUUUCAUCUCCUUAAUAGUUCUAUUUCUUAUUACAAGUGAAUGAGUCAGGCUUCUGAGUUUUAUAGAUUGUUCCUCUAAACUUGAUGAAUACAUUGGGUGUAUUGUCAACCUGGUGUAGAGAUCUGUGAGCUUACCAAACCUAGCCCUUUAUUCCUUGAGUUCCAGUCUGAAUAUUCCACCUUUGUUAUUUGACCACACUGGUAUCAUUUCUCUAAAUUGCAGCAUAUCCCAGAAUCUCAGAGCCCAGGCUCUCAGGUGCUUUUUUAUUUUUAUUUUUUUCUGUUUCUAAGUAGCUAAUUUAAUGGUGGCUAAUAUUUCUUGAGGGCUCACUACUUGUCAGGCCUAGCUGUGAGGGAUUUAUAUGGACCCCAUUAAAAUUAAGAAUUUAGCAUCUAAAGAGAUAUUUUUGCUCUUAUUAAAGUCACAGAGGAGAGAGAACAGAAAUGGGAAUUAGCCCUGAUGGGUGUGACUCAGAAUACCUUCAUAUUUCCACCAAGAUAACAUGUUUACCCAAGAAGGCAUGGUCUUUCUCAUCUUAAAUCUAUUUUAGUCACUUUUGAGUUGCUGUGAUAAAAUACCCUGACAAAAGUGACUUUAGAGAAAAAAGGUUGAUUUCGGCUCAUGGGUCCUGAGGGAUGAAGUCUAUUAUGAUGGAAACAGAAUGGAAAUAUGCAGUUAGGCACGAGGCUGUAAAAGAGGUGGUGCUAUCUGGUCACAUAGUAACUACAUACAGAACACAGUAAGUGAACACAAACUGGGAAUGGAUUACAAAGCCUCAAGCCCCACCUCUGGUAACCUACUUUUGCCAAUGAAACUUUGCCUUCUAAAUAGUCCAUAACCUUCCUAAACAGCACAGCUGAGGACCAAGUGUUCAAACACAUGAAUCUGUAGAGGGCAUUUCAUAUUGAAAUCAUGUCUUUUGUUUCAGCACAAAUACAGAACAUCUUCAAAUAUCUGUGUUUGAGUCCCAAAUCCUUGCAUCUUUCAAGGAUCCCUGUAACCUGAUCGCA